ensembl:rRNA 5S_rRNA 5S ribosomal RNA
GUCUACAGCCAUGCCACCCUGAACGUGCCGGAUCUCUUCUGAUCUCUGAAGCUAAGCAGGGUCGAGCCUGGAUAGUACUUGGAUGGGAGACCACCUCAAAAUACCAGGUGCUGUAGGCC